rnacentral:rRNA from 1 species
CGGAGUGGACGCAUCACUGGUGUUCGGGUUGUCAUGCCAAUGGCACUGCCCGGUAGCUAAAUGCGGAAAAGAUAAGUGCUGAAAGCAUCUAAGCACGAAACUUGCCCCGAGAUGAGUUCUCCCUGACCCUUUAAGGGUCCUGAAGGAACGUUGAAGACGACGACGUUGAUAGGUCGGGUGUGUAAGCGCAGCGAUGCGUUGAGCUAACCGAUACUAAUGAACCGUGAGGCUUAACCUUACAACGCCGAAGCUGUU